CCUGCACAGAGAACGGGAGCGGUAGUGUCUAUAACUCAGCCUGAAAUUGUCAUAGUAUGACAAAUCCAGCAACCAAAUCCUCCCCUUCAAUACUGGAAAGUUCUUCUGCCAAGCGUGUGACUACUCUUUGUGUCGAUUAGGCGGUUCCUCAGUUCGCUUUGUUUCUAAUCAGUUUAAUACCAAGUGGAUAAAACAAGUUUUGAAUUGAAUUGUUUAUUAUAAAAGAAUUUAUACUUUGUGUUUAUUUUAGUGACUACUGUGUACGUGUUUUAUGCUAAAGUGUUUCAAGUGGUUUAAACUCACGAACAUGAUCUCAUGAUUUUAUAAGUUAUCAAGAACAUAACCUCUCUGACGUAAUGAAACCAUGGUACAUCAGGCCUCUGCAAUGAAGGUGGGGUUUUCCAUUCCGUUGAACAGACCGUGUCAGGACUGGCCACUGUGUUCCGCUGGGCACUAAGGAUGCUGUAGCUGGACCACCGUGAUCAAUACAGAGAGGGGUGCAGGAAGGGAGGGUUUCUUCUUGAGCGGGCAAGCUCAUUGCCGAGAAGACAUGUCCACCAUUUUCUCGGUCCACCCUGACCGCACCGCCAUGAUGACUCAAAUAUACAAGUAUGCCAACUUAACAUUUUGUGACGAAAAGGGGUUUUUGAAAGUGAAAAUCUUCUGUUAAAUUUUUUUAAACUACGUCGCAAAAAUUUUAAAAUCCUCAAAAUUAAAAUAGGCCUCUGUAAUACUACAAUUUGUAAUGUAUUUUGUUUUACCUGAGUGUGAAACUUGAUAUAUUGUAACGAGGUAUGGAGGAGAAUAUUUGGGCACCAGCUUUCGAGUAAAUUCCAGAGAAAUUUGGAUGAUGACGCAUUUGAUAAUUUUAAUCUUCACAAAGUUUUAUUAGGGUGAUAGGACUCGACGUUAUUAGAUAGGCGAGGCAGUCACCUGGAUAAGACUGAGAUCUUAAAAGUCCCUGAUCCUUAUGGAAAGCAAAGUCUGCUCUUCCGGCCCGAAGCCUCACAUUAUACUAAUUGCUUAUUAGACAAAUAAUAAAAAUGAAUUAUGAUUAACAUCUAGUGUUUUAAUUGUGCCUGAUAUGUGAAGACUCGAAAUGAUUAAGAUUCUAUUGUGACGAGAUUUUCAAAGUGAUGAAAUUUUCGAUUGCAGUUUUCUGUUUAGUGAUGCUGAUUAUUCAUGUAAGUGGUCCUUUAAAAUGAAUACGAUAUUUCCUCCAAAACGUUACU